rnacentral:lncRNA from 1 species
GGAUGCUCCCAGCAGAGCAGCUGUGGGAGGCGGCACCGGGGAGGGGACAAGAGCGGGCCCGGCCCCAUUCCCCGCCUCGCUGCCACAAAACGGGAGCCGGGAGCUGGCUCGGCUUCACACGCUCCCCUCCAGCCCUACCGAACCGGGAUAUCCCCCCAUUAAACCUUGGACUGAACCCAAGCCGGCACCGAACCGAGCCGUGCGCGGUCGGGAGGGAUGUAGCGAUCAGCACCGCGGAGAGCGGCCGUGCCGAGCCGUGCCGGGGCCAUGGCCAGCGUGCAGCAGGGCGAGAAGCAGCUCUUCGAGAAGUUCUGGCGAGGGACCUUCAAAGCCGUGGCCACACCGCGACCGGAGAGCAUCAUCGUGGCCAGCAUCACCGCCCGCAAACCGCUGCCCAGUGGGACGCUCAGCUGCCUGCCGUACUCUGCCGAGGAUCGACGUCCUGAGAAGCUGAGCAGCUGUGUGUCCAAGGAGACCUCCACCACUAACGGCUGGGCAAGAGGGAAGGAGAGACGCGACCAUGCUCACCACAGGUCACGCAGGUAGGGACAAGGCCAUCCCACCCCACCGCGUGGUUCAGUGGAAGAAAAGUCAUCCUCAUCUCUGCUGGGUCUGUGAGAUCUGGGCAGGGGUUGGACAACCAUGUGAACUGCCGGCAUCCCAUGUGCUAUGGGGCACGUAGGGUUUCCCCCAGCUGUGGAUCACCCUCAGCAGUUCCCAUCUCCCAUGCGUAGAUCAGAGCAGCAGCAUUGCCCUAACUAGGAUAUCGCUUUGUUAUCAGUACGUUGUUAGCCUCUGACAACUUGCAAGGGUAAAAAAGAAUGAAGCUUGCUAAGCAAGGCAGCUGGGGUCUCAGCCUUUGCUGCUGAACUGGGAUUAAGGCCUUUCUGUUUGGUUAAAGAUGCUGGAAAGAAAGAGACAGAAAGUGCAUUUACUAUCUUCAGAUGUCAGGCUAACCGGAACAAUAAUCUAAAGUGUAUUUUUAAUUAGACUCUGAUUACAAUCACGGAGGAACAAU